rnacentral:rRNA from 1 species
AUUGAACGCUGGCGGCAGGCCUAGCACAUGCAAGUCGAACGGUAACAGGAAGAAGCUUGCUUCUUUGCUGACGAGUGGCGGACGGGUGAGUAAUGUCUGGGAAACUGCCUGAUGGAGGGGGAUAACUACUGGAAACGGUAGCUAAUACCGCAUAACGUCGCAAGACCAAAAAGGGGGACCUUCGGGCCUCUUGCCAUCGGAUGUGCCCAGAUGGGAUUAGCUAGUAGGUGGGGUAACGGCUCACCUAGGCGACGAUCCCUAGCUGGUCUGAGAGGAUGACCAGCCACACUGGAACUGAGACACGGUCCAGACUCCUACGGGAGGCAGCAGUGGGGAAUAUUGCACAAAGGGCGCAAGCCUGAUGCAGCCAUGCCGCGUGUAUGAAGAAGGCCUUCGGGUUGUAAAGUACUUUCAGCGGGGAGGAAGGGAGUAAAGUUAAUACCUUUGCUCAUUGACGUUACCCGCAGAAGAAGCACCGGCUAACUCCGUG